GACGCUAACAUACGUAACAUACUUGAGGUAUUUUGGCUAGCCUUAAAAAAACAGCUUAGAGUGAAGUCUCUUAUCGAUAUCUGGUACCGGCAUAACAUUCUUUUGUCGGUGUGUUGCAGUUGGCUGGUGGCCUCAACUACAGCAGGUUCCACUGCAGCAUACGGAUUGAAAUACUUCAACAACAGAUCCUCGUUGCUGGCUAGGAAGUAGGAUGUAGCUUUUCGACCUUAAGAGUCCGGGUUGCAAAGUCGGCUGAGGUCUGAUUGUUUUUGAAAGCUCAAGUUCAUGUUUAUGGAUAUCCAGCUAACAGGAUGCUCAAAGGAGUGGCCAGAUGGCAUUUACGAGUUUGAAGGACGGGUUCCCCGUUGCAUAGAAUAGAAGAUUACAAGAUAAUUUACACUUUAGAGAUUAAUAACAAGUAGCUUUGUCUAUAUUUCCCCUCCUCUGGGGUUGAGCUGGUAAUGGUGGAGGAACUUUUGAUGUUUUGAGAGAUUUGUACAACAAAUUGUUUAUAAAAUACCCCGCCCUGUCCACGAGAUGAAAACCCAUUCACUCACUCACAGAGUAAAGCAAGCAUUCGCAGCAUCAAUGUGUCGAAUUGGGAGUGCGAAAAGAGGAUCCGAAGACCAGGGGAUUGAACUCACAUGAAUCAAACACGCAACCUUCUAAUCUGGAGUCAGGUGCACUACCAUUGUGCCACAGAUCCAGUCUGUGUUGCAUUCACAGAUUCACUCGUCAUCAUAUGGAAGAAAAAAUAAAUGAAAAAUCCUUUUCACACAAAGAUAAGAUCAGAUGAAGGAACGAUUGAAAUGAUUGCAUA
rnacentral:lncRNA from 1 species